GUUACGAAAAUUCACGUAAAAUCGUGUUUCGAUUUAUUACAAAUGUUAAAUUUAACGAUUCGGAAAAACAUUUGUGUUAAGAUUAGUCUAUACGAAUUUAAGUCCUAAUGAGAAAUGCGCGCCUGGUUUCCCUACGUUAUAAGUUCUAUUCGUGAUCGAACGGUUGACAAGCUUACCUUCAUGUCGUCUUCCAAGUUCUUCAGAUGCGAUCGAUUUUCGGUUUUAACGGCAUUCACAGAACUAGCACCGAGUAGUUCUUCGACACCAACACUCCGAGCACUCUUGUAUUCGGUAAAGACAAUUCCACAUUUAAUUUAGGUUUCUUAAUUUAAAAAAAAAAACGAUCCAUUAUACGUGCGCAACACGUGGAAUAUCAGUGGCGUAUAAAAUAAAUUUCGGUUUAAACAAACACGUCGAUAAGAACAAUUCGCUUCGCGGCGGACGACUAACGACGAGUAACCGGCUUUGAGCGAAUACAACAGUUUAAUGAGAAAUCACGAACGAAAAUAAUUUUUAUUACACUAUUUAUCCAG